rnacentral:rRNA from 1 species
GCUCAGACGAACGCUGGCGGCGUGCUUAACACAUGCAAGUCGAACGAUGAUCUCCCGCUUGCGGGGGUGAUUAGUGGCGAACGGGUGAGUAAUACGUGAGUAACCUGCCCUUGACUCUGGGAUAAGCCUGGGAAACCGGGUCUAAUACUGGAUACUACUCCUCAUCGCAUGGUGGGGGGUGGAAAGGGUUUUACUGGUUUUGGAUGGGCUCACGGCCUAUCAGCUUGUUGGUGGGGUAAUGGCUCACCAAGGCGACGACGGGUAGCCGGCCUGAGAGGGUGACCGGCCACACUGGGACUGAGACACGGCCCAGACUCCUACGGGAGGCAGCAGUGGGGAAUAUUGCACAAUGGGCGGAAGCCUGAUGCAGCGACGCCGCGUGAGGGAUGACGGCCUUCGGGUUGUAAACCUCUUUCAGCAGGGAAGAAGCCACAAGUGACGGUACCUGCAGAAGAAGCGCCGG